UAGGGAAUCUUCCGCAAUGGGCGAAAGCCUGACGGAGCAACGCCGCGUGAGUGAAGAAGGAUUUCGGUUCGUAAAGCUCUGUUGUUAGGGAAGAAUGAUUGUGUAGUAACUAUACACAGUAGAGACGGUACCUAACCAGAAAGCCACGGCUAACUACGUGCCAGCAGCCGCGGUAAUACGUAGGUGGCAGGCGUUGUCCGGAAUUAUUGGGCGUAAAGCGCGCGCAGGUGGUUUAGUAAGUCUGAUGUGAAAGCCCACGGCUCAACCGUGGAGGGUCAUUGGAAACUGUUAAACUUGAGUGCAGGAGAGGAAAGUGGAAUUCCUAGUGUAGCGGUGAAAUGCGUAGAGAUUAGGAGGAACACCAGUGGCGAAGGCGGCUUUUUGGCCUGUAACUGACACUGAGGCGCGAAAGCGUGGGGAGCAAACAGGAUUAGAUACCCUGGUAGUCCACGCCGUAAACGAUGAGUGCUAAGUGUUGGUCUCAUAAGAGAUCAGUGCUGCAGCUAACGCAUUAAGCACUCCGCCUGGGGAGUACGACCGCAAGGUUG
rnacentral:rRNA from 1 species